UCCUCUUCUUCUUGUCCAAAAGUUGGACAAAAUUGUUACGUCUCUAUUAUAGAGAUUUGGUGCAUGGAUUUAGGAAGAAAGGAGAAGAAAGGGUUCUUCUCAUGAUCCCUAGCAUAGAGAUCAAGAUCUUCCUACAUCUUCUUAUUCUCUAAGAGUGUCUUAAGAAAAAAGAAGAUUUUCAACUGUCAAGAUGCGAUCUCUGAAAGAGAGUUAGUACCCC
rnacentral:lncRNA from 1 species